rnacentral:rRNA from 1 species
CAGUGUGUGUGUUAGUGGAAGCGUCUGGAAAGGCGCGCGAUACAGGGUGACAGCCCCGUACACAAAAAUGCACAUGCUGUGAGCUCGAUGAGUAGGGCGGGACACGUGGUAUCCUGUCUGAAUAUGGGGGGACCAUCCUCCAAGGCUAAAUACUCCUGACUGACCGAUAGUGAACCAGUACCGUGAGGGAAAGGCGAAAAGAACCCCGGCGAGGGGAGUGAAAAAGAACCUGAAACCGUGUACGUACAAGCAGUGGGAGCACGCUUAGGCGUGUGACUGCGUACCUUUUGUAUAAUGGGUCAGCGACUUAUAUUCUGUAGCAAGGUUAACCGAAUAGGGGAGCCGAAGGGAAACCGAGUCUUAACUGGGCGUUAAGUUGCAGGGUAUAGACCCGAAACCCGGUGAUCUAGCCAUGGGCAGGUUGAAGGUUGGGUAACACUAACUGGAGGACCGAACCGACUAAUGUUGAAAAAUUAGCGGAUGACUUGUGGCUGGGGGUGAAAGGCCAAUCAAACCGGGAGAUAGCUGGUUCUCCCCGAAAGCUAUUUAGGUAGCGCCUCGUGAACUCAUCUCCGGGGGUAGAGCACUGUUUCGGCAAGGGGGUCAUCCCGACUUACCAACCCGAUGCAAACUGCGAAUACCGGAGAAUGUUAUCACGGGAGACACACGGCGGGUGCUAACGUCCGUCGUGAAGAGGGAAACAACCCAGACCGCCAGCUAAGGUCCCAAAGUCAUGGUUAAGUGGGAAACGAUGUGGGAAGGCCCAGACAGCCAGGAUGUUGGCUUAGAAGCAGCCAUCAUUUAAAGAAAGCGUAAUAGCUCACUGGUCGAGUCGGCCUGCGCGGAAGAUGUAACGGGGCUAAACCAUGCACCGAAGCUGCGGCAGCGACGCUUAUGCGUUGUUGGGUAGGGGAGCGUUCUGUAAGCCUGUGAAGGUGUGCUGUGAGGCAUGCUGGAGGUAUCAGAAGUGCGAAUGCUGACAUAAGUAACGAUAAAGCGGGUGAAAAGCCCGCUCGCCGGAAGACCAAGGGUUCCUGUCCAACGUUAAUCGGGGCAGGGUGAGUCGACCCCUAAGGCGAGGCCGAAAGGCGUAGUCGAUGGGAAACAGGUUAAUAUUCCUGUACUUGGUGUUACUGCGAAGGGGGGACGGAGAAGGCUAUGUUGGCCGGGCGACGGUUGUCCCGGUUUAAGCGUGUAGGCUGGUUUUCCAGGCAAAUCCGGAAAAUCAAGGCUGAGGCGUGAUGACGAGGCACUACGGUGCUGAAGCAACAAAUGCCCUGCUUCCAGGAAAAGCCUCUAAGCAUCAGGUAACAUCAAAUCGUACCCCAAACCGACACAGGUGGUCAGGUAGAGAAUACCAAGGCGCUUGAGAGAACUCGGGUGAAGGAACUAGGCAAAAUGGUGCCGUAACUUCGGGAGAAGGCACGCUGAUAUGUAGGUGAAGUCCCUCGCGGAUGGAGCUGAAAUCAGUCGAAGAUACCAGCUGGCUGCAACUGUUUAUUAAAAACACAGCACUGUGCAAACACGAAAGUGGACGUAUACGGUGUGACGCCUGCCCGGUGCCGGAAGGUUAAUUGAUGGGGUCAGCGCAAGCGAAGCUCUUGAUCGAAGCCCCGGUAAACGGCGGCCGUAACUAUAACGGUCCUAAGGUAGCGAAAUUCCUUGUCGGGUAAGUUCCGACCUGCACGAAUGGCGUAAUGAUGGCCAGGCUGUCUCCACCCGAGACUCAGUGAAAUUGAACUCGCUGUGAAGAUGCAGUGUACCCGCGGCAAGACGGAAAGACCCCGUGAACCUUUACUAUAGCUUGACACUGAACAUUGAGCCUUGAUGUGUAGGAUAGGUGGGAGGCUUAGAAGUGUGGACGCCAGUCUGCAUGGAGCCGACCUUGAAAUACCACCCUUUAAUGUUUGAUGUUCUAACGUUGACCCGUAAUCCGGGUUGCGGACAGUGUCUGGUGGGUAGUUUGACUGGGGCGGUCUCCUCCUAAAGAGUAACGGAGGAGCACGAAGGUUGGCUAAUCCUGGUCGGACAUCAGGAGGUUAGUGCAAUGGCAUAAGCCAGCUUGACUGCGAGCGUGACGGCGCGAGCAGGUGCGAAAGCAGGUCAUAGUGAUCCGGUGGUUCUGAAUGGAAGGGCCAUCGCUCAACGGAUAAAAGGUACUCCGGGGAUAACAGGCUGAUACCGCCCAAGAGUUCAUAUCGACGGCGGUGUUUGGCACCUCGAUGUCGGCUCAUCACAUCCUGGGGCUGAAGUAGGUCCCAAGGGUAUGGCUGUUCGCCAUUUAAAGUGGUACGCGAGCUGGGUUUAGAACGUCGUGAGACAGUUCGGUCCCUAUCUGCCGUGGGCGCUGGAGAACUGAGGGGGGCUGCUCCUAGUACGAGAGGACCGGAGUGGACGCAUCACUGGUGUUCGGGUUGUCAUGCCAAUGGCACUGCCCGGUAGCUAAAUGCGGAAGAGAUAAGUGCUGAAAGCAUCUAAGCACGAAACUUGCCCCGAGAUGAGUUCUCCCUGACUCCUUGAGAGUCCUGAAGGAACGUUGAAGACGACGACGUUGAUAGGCCGGGUGUGUAAGCGCAGCGAUGCGUUGAGCUAACCGGUACUAAUGAACCGUGAGGCUUAACCUU